AUUGAACGCUAGCGGCAGGCUUAACACAUGCAAGUCGAACGAGUGGCGGACGGGUGAGUAAUGUCUGGGAAACUGCUCGAUGGCGGGGGAUAACUACCGGAAACGGUAGCUAUUAACGCAUACCAUCGGAGGGGCCGAGAUGGGUUUAGCUAGUUGGUGGGGUAACGGCUCGCCAAAGCGACGAUCCGUAGCUGGUCUGAGAGGAGGACCAGCGACACUGGAACUGAGACACGGUCCGGACUCCUACGCGAGGCAGGGGUGGGGAAUGUGGGACAAUGGGAUCAAGCCUGAUGCGGCCAAGCCGAGUAGAUGGAGAAGGCCUUCGGGUUGUAGAGUACUUUCGGCGAGGAAGCGGUAGUCGCAGAAGAAGGACCGGCUAACUCCGUGCCAGCAGCCGCGGUAAUUC
rnacentral:rRNA from 1 species